ensembl:lncRNA
CUGUGUUAUUGCAAUGGCCUCUUUUGGUGGGUUGAAUAGUGUUUUACAAAAAUGCAUGUCCACCUGGAACCUCAGAAUUUGCCUUUUUUGGAAAUAGGAUCUUUGCAAAUGUACUUAAAGUGAGAAUUGAGAUGAGGUAAUACUGAUUAGGGUGAGAGUGUCCUAUAAGAGACAAAAAGACACGCAGGGACUCAUACAGAAAAGAAGUUCAUAUGAAGAUGGAGGCAGAGAUGGGAGUGAUGCUACCACAAGCCAAGGAAUGCUAGGGACCACACGAAGCUGGAAGAGGACAAGACAAAGGAAGAAAACCAACUUUCCCGUUUUAAGAAAUAGUUCUGCGCUUCAUCACAGUUUUAGAUGUUUUCUUCUGGGAGAACCAAGGAGCAACAGGUUCUUGCGUAGAAGCUCAGCGUGGACUUUUAGCUUUUCCAGUGGACUUUGAGGGAAAAAACGUCAGAAGUUCAGCUUUCUCACUUCUGAAAAGGGACUAGUGAUGCCUGUUCUUCGCCUCUGCCAGCACUGCAAUAAAAUUCAGAUGAAAGCAAGCAUAUGAAAGGCUGUGUAAACGCCAGUGUGCCAUAGAAAUGUAAAAACGGUAUUAGCAAGGGUUAUGACAUCUUCUGCUUCCUUUCCCUGCAUCCAUUUUUAUGUGUCUAUCAAAAUAAAAGGCAAUAAUUUUUGACUUGCAAAUUUUAGACUGAACCGUUGAAUGAUACAAUGAAAGGAGGAUGCAUUCACGUUUUAUUUUUAUGUGAAUAAAU